rnacentral:tRNA from 1 species
ACCUGGCUGGCUCAGUUGGAGAAGCAUGAGAUUCUUGAUCUCAGGAUCCUGGGUUUGAGCCCCAUGUUGGGUG